rnacentral:rRNA from 1 species
AACGAACGCUGGCGGCAGGCUUAACACAUGCAAGUCGAACGCAUCCUUCGGGGUGAGUGGCAGACGGGUGAGUAACGCGUGGGAACGUGCCCUUCAGUUCGGGAUAACCCAGGGAAACUUGGGCUAAUACCGGAUACGUGCGAGAGCAGAAAGAUUUAUCGCUGAAGGAUCGGCCCGCGUCUGAUUAGCUAGUUGGUGGGGUAAUGGCCCACCAAGGCGAUGAUCAGUAGCUGGUCUGAGAGGAUGAUCAGCCACAUUGGGACUAAGACACGGCCCAAACUCCUACGGGAGGCAGCAGUGGGGAAUAUUGGACAAUGGGCGCAAGCCUGAUCCAGCCAUGCCGCGUGAGUGAUGAAGGCCUUAGGGUUGUAAAGCUCUUUCGUCCGGGACGAUAAUGACGGUACCGGAAGAAGAAGCCCCGGCUAACUACGUGCCAGCAGCCGCAGUAA